UUUUGACCUCAGUUCAGACAAGGCUACCCGCCGAAUUUAAGCAUAUUACUAAGCGGAGGAAAAGAAAAUAACAAUGAUUCCCCUAGUAACGGCGAGCGAACCGGGAAGAGCCCAACUUGGAAAUCUGGAGGCUUGUCCUUCCGAAUUGUAGUCUAGAGUAGUGCCAUCUGCGGCUGGCCGGUCCCAAGUUCCCUGGAAAGGGACGUCAGAGAGGGUGAGAGCCCCGUCGAGGCCGGUUUAGUCGCUCCACGAUGCGCUUACAAGGAGUCGGGUUGUUUGGGAAUGCAGCCCUAAGCGGGAGGUAAAUUCCUUCUAAGGCUAAAUAUUGGCGAGAGACCGAUAGCGAACAAGUACCGCGAGGGAAAGAUGAAAAGACCUUUGAAAAGAGAGUUAAAAAGUACCUGAAAUUGUUGAGGGGGAAGCGAUUAAAACCAGCGGGUGCUCCCUAAGUAGGCUUUGCCACACGCUAGGGGCUGGUCAACGUGGGUUAGUCGGGGGGGACAUUACUCCUGACUGACCGAGGACUCGACGUUGGCGGAAUGGUUUUAAUCGGCCCGUCUAGAAACACGGACCAAGGAGUCUAA
rnacentral:rRNA from 1 species